rnacentral:lncRNA from 1 species
GAAUCAUGUCGCUUUAAGAAAAAAUCGCGGCCAGCGCCUAGCGGUCAUGCCGCGCCUCUCCGGCGAGCAGCGCACACACUCCGCCGGGCUCCCGCGCGAGCUGUGCUGCAGUGUGUGCGCGUGCAGCACUGCAGAGCCCGCGCCCGGAGCCGCACGCACCGCGCGGGCAGCCGCGCUGCGGGGGAGAGGAACUCAAGAGACUCUUGUUGGAACUGUACUGGAGCUAUCUAGUGUACUGAAACAAAUUAAUUAGAAUUCAGAGAGAAAAAAUCUUAUAGCAUUUAGCAAAACAAUAAAAGGUAAGCAAAUGUGAUGUCCUCUUAUUUC